AGUUUUGUGCAGUGGCAACAUCAUAGCCAGUGAGGUUUGUCUAAGGAGUGAUUAUUGCUAAUUGAAAACUUUUCCCAAUACCCCGCCAUGAUGGCUUGAAAUAUAGUUGGCAUUGGCAUUUUUUGACAGUCUGUAUGGAGA
ensembl:snRNA U4 U4 spliceosomal RNA